rnacentral:rRNA from 1 species
AAAGAUUAAGCCAUGCAUGUCUAAGUAUAAGCAAUUAUACCGUGAAACUGCGAAUGGCUCAUUAAAUCAGUUAUCGUUUAUUUGAUAAUACCUUACUACUUGGAUAACCGUGGUAAUUCUAGAGCUAAUACAUGCUGAAAAUCCCGACUUCGGAAGGGAUGUGUUUAUUAGAUAAAAAACCAAUGCCCUUCGGGGCUNUUUGGUGAUUCAUGAUAACUUUACGGAUCGCAUAGCCUUGCGCUGGCGACGGUUCAUUCAAAUUUCUGCCCUAUCAACUUUCGAUGGUAAGGUAUUGGCUUACCAUGGUUU